rnacentral:rRNA from 1 species
CAAGCGGAGGUAACAUGUGGUUAAUUCGAUGAUACGCGAGGAACCUUACCUGGGCUUAAAUGUAGAGUGCAUUUUUUAGAGAUAGAAAUUCCCUUCGGGGGCUUUCUGCAAGGUGCUGCAUGGUUGUCGUCAGCUCGUGCCGUGAGGUGUCGGGUUAAGUCCCAUAACGAGCGCAACCCUUAUCGUUAGUUGCCAGCUGGUAAAGCAGGGGACUCUAGCGAAACUGCCACCGUAAGGUGAGAGGAAGGUGGGGAUGACGUCAAAUCAGCACGGCCCUUAUGUCCAGGGCUACACACGUGUUACAAUGGCCGGCACAGAGGGCAGCUACCUGGUGACAGGAUGCUAAUCUCGAAAACCGGUCUCAGUUCGGAUCGAAGUCUGCAACUCGACUUCGUGAAGCUGGAUUCGCUAGUAAUCGCGCAUCAGCCAUGGCCGCGUCGAUACGUUCCGGCCUU